UUUUUCUUAAAAUAAUGAGUAAAAUUAUAAUAUUGUCCACUCUAGUUCUCACUUUUGGAUGUAACUAAAAUUGACUCUAUAAUAUACUAUUAUAUAUAUAUAUAUAAAUUCUGCUUUAUUUUUAUUAGUUGUGGGAGCCAAUACUGAAUCGAUCAUUUGCAAGAAGAUAACUCCUGCUGUCAGAAGAAUUUUGAGGGCUGAUGAAAUACUAUGCGGAAGAGAAAAUGGCUUGAUACUAACUACCAACGAAAGUUUAUACAAAAUUAUUACCAAAAAUUUGUGAUUGGAAAUGUGCUAUAUUUUAAAUUAUUAUUCCGAAUACAAUAAUGUUGAAUUCCAUAACAAAUCAACAUAGAGUUUUAGGCAAUUACCACCUUUAGGUUUUGUUAAAAUCUUGAAAAAUGAUAACGCCUAUGAUUACAAAAUUACAUCUAACUCAGGGGGGAGGUUAAUAUAAGGGCGCUCGACUAAUUCACAGUUUGUGCAAAAAUUUGCGGCGAUUCUGUAUUUCGCUGUCGGCUAACUGCAUUGUAAGCUUAAUUUAAAUACAAAUCGUAUUAUUCAAAAUUAUUUGACUGAGGAAAAAAAUAAAUAUAUUUAGGUAAAAUACCGGAAAUAUUAAACCGAAAAUAUGUGAUUCUAGAGAUGUAAAGAUCAGUAAAUCUAACUGAAUGGCAAGAAGUUGCCAAAAUUCGUGCUUAUUCAGCCAAUAGGAAACAAAAUUUUAAACUCUUGGUGGGCAUUCAAGAUGAGAGAAAAACAUUUAAAUUUAUUCAAUUCAUUAAUUAUUUACAUCAUUGACCAAUUGUUACGGUUAUCUUACAAUGUUAUCGAUGAGUAUUAAAAUAAACAAUGCUAAAAGUAGUUUAAAGAAAU